rnacentral:miRNA from 1 species
UAUAAUAGUAUAGCCGCACGGCUAUACUAUUUAUUUGAAUUUUAAAAAAAUAGUAUAUAGUAUAGCCGUUCGGCUAUACUCUUUUU